CGGACGGGUGAGUAAUGUAUGGGGAUCUGCCUGAUGGCGGGGGAUAACUACUGGAAACGGUAGCUAAUACCGCAUAAUGUCUGCGGACCAAAGCGGGGGACCUCCGGGCCUCGCGCCAUCAGAUGAACCCAUACGGGAUUAGCUUGUAGGUAAGGUAACGGCUUACCUAGGCGACGAUCCCUAGCUGGUCUGAGAGGAUGAUCAGCCACACUGGGACUGAGACACGGCCCAG
rnacentral:rRNA from 1 species